GCCUGGACAGCUGAGUUGGUUAGAGCAUGGUGCUGAUAAUGCCAAGGUUGCAGGUUCAGUCCCUGUAUGGGAUG
rnacentral:tRNA from 1 species